GGAUGUGAGGGCGAUCUGGCUGCGACAUCUGUCACCCCAUUGAUCGCCAGGGUUGAUUCAGCUGAUCUGGCUGGCUAAGCGGGUGUCCCCUUCCUCCCUCACCGCUCCAUGUGUGUCCCUCCCGAAGCUGCGUGCUGGGUUGAAGAGGAUGACCUCCCCCGUAGAGGAGAGGACCGUUCUUCGGUCAAGGUAGCUGCGCUCCCCUGCUAGAACCUCCAAACAAGCUCUCAAAUUUGAAGAAAGAAUAAAGGCUUUUUCAGAUAUUCAUUGACUCCCAGAAGAAUUUGACUUUCCAUGCACUCUCUCU
rnacentral:snRNA from 1 species